rnacentral:rRNA from 1 species
AGUGAACGCUGGCGGUAGGCCUAACACAUGCAAGUCGAACGGCAGCACAGUAAGAGCUUGCUCUUACGGGUGGCGAGUGGCGGACGGGUGCGGAAUACAUCGGAAUCUACUUUUUCGUGGGGGAUAACGUAGGGAAACUUACGCUAAUACCGCAUACGACCUACGGGUGAAAGCAGGGGAUCUUCGGACCUUGCGCGAUUGAAUGAGCCGAUGUCGGAUUAGCUAGUUGGCGGGGUAAAGGCCCACCAAGGCGACGAUCCGUAGCUGGUCUGAGAGGAUGAUCAGCCACACUGGAACCGAGACACGGUCCAGACUCCUACGGGAGGCAGCAGUGGGGAAUAUUGGACAAUGGGCGCAAGCCUGAUCCAGCCAUGCCGCGUGGGUGAAGAAGGCCUUCGGGUUGUAAAGCCCUUUUGUUGGGAAAGAAAAGCAGCAGGUUAAUACCCCGCUGUUCUGACGGUACCCAAAGAAUAAGCACCGGCUAACUUCGUG